rnacentral:tRNA from 1 species
GCCUUCGUGGUAUAGUGGUGAGCAUGCUCGACGCGUAUUCGAGAGGUUCGUGGUUCGAGUCCCAGCGAGGACA